rnacentral:lncRNA from 1 species
AUGGAUAUUUGCACAAAUCUCCCACUGUUGGAAAAAAAGAAGCAGUAAACUGCCCCUUCUACCAAUGUCUAAGAUGAACGGGAAAAAUGCAUAUAAAUGGAAUUUUUCUUUUACGUGAUGAUACAGUGUUUUGGUGUCCCAAAGAAAUAAAAUCCAGCACUGUCCAAUUGAAGUAUAAUGCAAGCCACAUUUCUAGUAGCCAUAUUUUAAAAAGUAACAAUAAAGUGUUGAAAUUUACCUUAAUACUGCCUUUUUUAACCAAAUAGGUCCAAAAUAUUAUUAUUUUGACAGGCAUUAUGAGUUGAGUUGUGUCCCCCACAAAAUUCAUGUUGAAGCCCUAACCAGCAGUACCACAGAAUGUGACUAUAUUGAGAGAUGGGGUUUUAAAAGAAGUAAUUAAGUUAAAAUGGUUUCAUUAGGGUGGGCCCUAAUCCAAUAUAACUGAUGUUCUUAUAACAAGAGGCAAUAUGGACAUGGGCACACACAGAGGGAAGAUCAUGUGAUGACAUGAGUCAAGAAGAGAGGCCUCAGAAGAAACCAACCUGACAACACCUGGAUCUCAGACUUCUACCUUCUAGAAUUGUGAAAAAUACAUUUAUCUUGCUUAACCCACCUAGUCUAUGAUAAUUUGUUAUGGCAUCUCUAGCAAACUAAUACAAUAUGUAAUCAAUUAAUGAAAAUAAAAUGUAUUAAUAAGA